CUGUUAUGUAUCAGUCCAGGGCUCAGGACGCACAGGGUCGGGUAUUAGCUGAUUAUCUGAUUCCGUCAGCAGAGAGCUUUCAGCGAGUUCGCAGAGCCAGCCCCCAGAUUUCCUCACAGAAAUGCUAAGCUUAGACAGCUGCAAAGGGUCCUGGUAUGAAGUUCUGCCCCGGAAGGUGUCCUGGGUACUUAUAGUAUCAGCGUUGAAGGCAGAUCCUGCAGCUCUGAAACACCUUCCAAGCUUCAUGUUGCCACAUGGUUCUGGGAGAUUAGGCCAUGGGAAUCUGUGGUUUCCCUCACUCCGGAACUUGAACCUGUGAUUCCCUCUCCAGUUGGAGCCUUUAACACAGUCUACAGACAUAGUCUGGGCUGUUGAAAAGCUUUCCACCUGCAACCUUGCUGGGAGUGGAAGAGAAGGACAGGAGGGUCUCACUCUGUCACCCAGGCUGGAAUGCAGUGGGGCGAUCUCAGCUCACUACAACCUCCACCUCCCAGGUUCAAGUGAUUCUCCUGCCUCAGCCUCCUGAGUAGCUGGGAUUACAGAGGAGAAUACCUUCCUUUUCCUUUCUAAAUGGAGGACAGGAUUUGCAGAAGCUCUGAGUCCCUACUGGGAAAGAGAAAAAGAUCUGCAUGUUUCAUGGAUGCUGAAGCCGGAUUCUAAGAGGAAUGACAAAGUCAUUGCUAAUUGCAGCCAAUUACUCUAUCGGAUGGUACUGGUAGAGAAAAUGACUUCAAGUCUAGAGUUGCCUUGGAAAGAAUUACCAUACUGGUGGACACGGAACUGUAGUGCUGGUCAUCCCUCUGCACUGGACUGGAUUCUGCCAAAGUCAACUAAAUGGAGUUUUGCUCUUGCUGCCCAGACUGCAGUGCAAUGGCAAGAUCUUAGCUCACUGAAACCUCUGCCUCCUGGGUUCAAGUGAUUCUCCUGCCUCAGCCUCCCUAAUUAAUUUGUAAGUAGCUGAAAUUACAAAUAUGUGCCACCACACUCAGCUAAUUUUUGUAUUUUUAGUAGAAGCGGGGUUUCAUCAGGUUGGCCAGGCUGGUCUCAAACUCCUGAGCUCACGUGAUCCACCCACCUCAGGCUCCCAAAGUGCUGGGAUUACAGGCAUAAGCCACUGAACCUGGCCAGAAUAAAUCCUAGUAGUAGUCAUAAGAGACAAACAGAUUGUCUUCAAAUGAAUGAGCUAGACUAACUGCUGACUUCUCAAUAAUCAUAAUGGAAGUCAGAAAGCAAGGGAAUAAUAUCUUCAAUAUAUUUACAAAAGUUAAUAGCUGAUGAAUAUUCUAUACCCAGGAAAAAAUAUCUUUCAAUAUGAGAACAAAAUACUUUUUUAUGUAAGUAAAACAGAGUUUGUCAAAAUUCUAAAUUAUGUAUUUCAGGAAGAAAGAAAAUUACAGAUGGAAGAGUUGAAAUACAAAAAGGAAUCAAGAAAAAGACAAUCUUUCAGUUAUAAAUAAGUGAGUAAAUCCAAAUGAACAUUGAAUAUACAAAAAAUAACAAUAAGGUCCCAUGGCUUAUAUUUAAAAGCAUAAUUAAUGGAGCUAAAGGGUGGUAGGGUCCCUAUAUUAUCUGAUAAGAAGGUAAUAUAUUUGACUAGAUAAUAUAAGCAUACAGUUUCUUCUUUUUAAGACGGUAUUGGUCAUGAAUUAGUGCAGAGAAACAGAAAAGUACUUCAAGAAGAAAAUAAUUUUAUAUUGGGAGUUAGGAGGUUGCAAAAUCAUUGGGAAACUGGCAGUACAAAAGUUAGAGGGCUGCUUCUAGGCUUUUUUUUUGAGACAGAGUCUUGCUUUGUCACCAGGCACGUGGCUGGAGUGCAGUGGCACGAUCUCAGCUCACUGCAAUCUCCACCUCCCAGGUUCAAGCAAUUCUCCU
ensembl:lncRNA